rnacentral:rRNA from 1 species
GACAGAGGGUGCAAACGUUGUUCGGAAUUACUGGGCGUAAAGCGUGUGUAGGCUGCUACAUAAGUCGGAUGUGAAAGCCCCGGGCUCAACCCGGGAAGUGCACUCGAUACUGCGUAGCUUGAGUCUCGGAGAGGUUGGUGGAAUUCUCGGUGUAGAGGUGAAAUUCGUAGAUAUCGAGAGGAACACCGGUGGCGAAGGCGGCCAACUGGACGAAGACUGACGCUGAGACACGAAAGCGUGGGAAGCAAACAGG